rnacentral:lncRNA from 1 species
AUGAACCGACCACAAAGGAACUCAGCAGACAGGAGGCAAUGCUGGAUGGCAUCAGCCAGCCAGCGAGAUUGUUUUGAGGGCUCUCGCCUUGUGGUGUUCCGGGGGACCAGGGGAGGUCGUUCCGGAGCGAGCGGGCGAGAGGAGGAGCCCCAGAGGUCCCCACCUACCCAGCUGCCGGCGGUCCCGGAGGGUCGUGUCCUGGCCGUGGCAACCCUGGGGGGUCAGGCAAGCCCCUUCCAGAGUCCUGAGGUGCCCUCCUCAGCCAGCAGUCUCCCCAUGAAACGAGGGAGACGGUUUUCAUGGGAGUCAACUUCUGAGUCUUCGGCGUCCGAGACUGCCCUGCCCGAGACCAAACUCCCCCAACCCGCCUCUGACCCAGCUGUGGCCUCUGCACCGCGCCCAAGGAGGAAGAGGAGGAAGAGGGGGCCUGCCGGUCCUGUGACCCUGUCUCCUCCCGUGCCAGCAGCGGAGAGCGCUGGCGUGCCCGUGCCAGCAGCGGAGAGCGCUGGCGUGCCCGUGCCAGCAGUGGUGAGAGCUGGCGUGCCCGUGCCAGCAGCGGUGAGAGCUGGCGUGCCCGUGCCAGCAGCGGUGAGAGCUGGCGUGCCCGAGCCAGCAGCGGUGAGCGUGUCCGAGCCAGCAGCGGUGAGCGCUGGCGUGCCCGAGCCGGCAAAGAAGAGGGCAGUAUGCAAGUCGGCAGUCGUGAGAGCGCAGGAGAGUGCCGCGGCCGACUCUGCAGCAAAGACUCUAGUUCAGUGUAUCUCAUCUCGUAAGGAGAUGCCAAUUGUCUUAGCGGCUAAAGCCUUUUCUGAUUAUUUGUCUAGUCUUGUCCGUAUCCUAGAAGUCCCCGUCAGUCCUGUCUUGUCCUCAGACCCUGUCCCCAGAAAUCCCGAGUGUCCUGAUGUCGUCCCCCCGUGUCCCGUUAAUGUCCCCCCGUGUCCCGUUAAUGUCCCCCCGUGUCCCGUAGAUGUUGUCCCCCCGUGUCCCGUAGAUGUUGUCCCCCCGUGUCCCGUAGAUGUUGUCCCCCCGUGUCCAGUAAGUCUUGCCCCGCGUCCCGUAAGUGUUGUCCCGCGUCCCUUGUCUGGUCCUGUCAUGUCCCCUGUCAGUUGUCCCGAGACCCCUCCCCGCCCCUCACCACCCAGACCUGCCCGUACCCCCCGCCGUCAGCCUUCGUCCUGUCCUCCUAGGAUUCCUACCCCACCCACCCGCCCUGGUCUGUCCCCCAUGAACUUUGUGGUCCCGCCCCCUCCCCUUCCCUGUUUGUUUUUUUUGAUUUGUCACCCCAACCCUGCCGUUGUGUACUCAUGUUUGCCUUUGUUGUUAUUUGUCAUGUCCUGUUGGUUUGUGUCUGUGUCCCAGUCUGUCAUGUCAGUCGUGUCCCGUGUUUGA